AUGAAGUUGAAAAAGAAAACAGAAUUCUACAAGGAAGAUCAUCAAGGAGUCUAUUGGCAAUCUCGGGAAAAAAAAGGUGGUAUUGCUAGUCUUCUGCAAGUUAUCUCGAGCCGGAGCAUCAGCCCUACCCAACUCCUUCCUUUUUUUUCCUUUCUGUUAUUCCUUUACUUUUCAGGAGGCUGCUGGUCCUUCAUGUCAAUUUCUCGUGCCAUCUUUGGUCCUCUGGAAGGAUGUGUCGUUAAAUUGAUUCGCUGUCCUCUUGUUACGAUUUUUGCUAUGGUCCCUUCGACAACUCGAUUACUUGGCUGA
rnacentral:rRNA from 1 species